ACGAACGCUGGCGGCGUGGCUAAGGCAUGCAAGUCGAACGGAUCUAUUCCAAGGGUAACCGAGGGAUAGGUUAGUGGCGAACGGGUGAGGAAUACAUGGAUAACGUGCCCCGGAUUCAGGGAUAACGGCAGGCCGAAAGGCCCUUGCGAAAGGGCCGCUAAUACCUGAUGACCCCGCGAGGUCGCAUGAUCUUGCGGGCAAAGCUCCGGUGAUCCGGGAGCGGUUCAUGUCCUAUCAGCUAGUUGGUGAGGUAACGGCCCACCAAGGCUUUGACGGGUAUCGGGCGUGAGAGCGUGGCCCGACACAUCGGAACUGAGACACUGUCCGGACACCUACGGGUGGCUGCAGCAACGAAUAUUCCGCAAUGGACGAAAGUCUGACGGAGCGACGCCGCGUGCGGGAAGAAGUCCCUCGGGAUGUAAACCGCUGUCAGGGGCUAGGAAAUAUGACCAGCCCCAGAGGAAGCACCGGCUAACUCCGU
rnacentral:rRNA from 1 species